rnacentral:rRNA from 2 species
UUGGAGGGCAAGUCUGGUGCCAGCAGCCGCGGUAAUUCCAGCUCCAAUAGCGUAUAUUAAAGUUGUUGCAGUUAAAAAGCUCGUAGUUGAAUUUCGGGGUUAGUAGGCUGGUCAUGCCACAGGUAUGCACUGGUCUUACUGAUUCCUCCUUCCUGAUGAACCGUAAUGCCAUUAAUUUGGUGUUGCGGGGAGUCUGGACUGUUACUUUGAAAAAAUUAGAGUGUUUAAAGCAGGCUAACGCUUGAAUACAUUAGCAUGGAAUAACGAAAUAGGACGUUCGAUCUUAUUUUGUUGGUUUCUAGGAUUGACGUAAUGAUUAAUAGGGAUAGUUGGGGGCAUUAGUAUUCAAUUGUCAGAGGUGAAAUUCUUGGAUUUAUUGAAGACUAACUACUGCGAAAGCAUUUGCCAAGGAUGUUUUCAUUAAUCAAGAACGAAAGUUAGGGGAUCGAAGACGAUCAGAUACCGUCGUAGUCUUAACCAUAAACUAUGCCGACUAGGGAUCGGAUGAUGUUAAUUUUAUAAUGACUCAUUCUGCGCCUUACGGGAAAC